AAACGCUUGAAGUCAGUCGCGUCUAUUGGGGAUCAGCCUUGCUUCUUGCUUGGUGUAUUUCCUGAUUGACGGGUCAGCAUCAAUUUUGACUGGUGGAAAAAGGUCAGGGGAAUGUGGCAUCUCCGGAUGUGUUAUAGCCCUUGGUCGCAUACAUCAGUUGGGAUUGAGGAACUCAGCACGCCGCAAGGCCGGGUCUUUGACCACGUUCGUGCUUAGGAUGCUGGCAUAAUGGCUUUAAUCGA
rnacentral:rRNA from 1 species